CCCUUAGAUGUUCUGGGCUGCACGCGCGCUACACUGAUGCAUCCAACAAGUUUUUUCCUUGUUCGAGAGGACUAGGUAAUCUUAUGAGAAUGCAUCGUGAUGGGGAUAGAUUAUUGCAAUUAUUAAUCUUCAACGAGGAAUUCCUAGUAAGCGCGAGUCAUCAGCUCGUGCUGAUUACGUCCCUGCCCUUUGUACACACCGCCCGUCGCUGCAACUGAUUGGGUGACCUGGUGAACAUCUUGGACCGGCCCACUCAAUUUCGAGAGGACUGGAAAAGGCCGUAAAUCAGGUACAUCUAGAAAUUGCGAAAGUCGUAACA
rnacentral:rRNA from 1 species